rnacentral:lncRNA from 1 species
UAUUUGUAGGAAGGCUUCGGCUACUAAAGGAUCAGAACCACUUUAAAGUAUUGGGGGUUAAGUUUCCUAAAUUCUACUAUAUUAUGGGAGAUAAACCAAUCUGUGUUUCGAAAUUCAGGGGUAGGGGACGGACAAGGGUUGGCCUGGUUCUAUCUUACGGCUGCAAUUAAUCCUUGAAUAGCUCGAAAAAGUUCCAUAAAUUCAGCCCUGAUCGGAUGAUCUAGGGCUUUAGGUCGUUCAAUACAUUCUAUGGAUGGUCUUCCCGCAUCAUUCCUACAAAAGAAAUGAAGACACGAGUUGGAGGU